ACCUGGUUGAUCCUGCCAGUAGUCAUAUGCUUGUCUCAAAGACUAAGCCAUGCAUGUCUAAGUAUAAGUGUUAUACUGCGAAACUGCGAAUGGCUCAUUAAAACAGUUAUAGUUUAUUUGAUAAUCGAAUUUACAUGGAUAAUCGUGGUAAUUCUAGAGCUAAUACAUGGCUGGUGUGACCCGAACUUUUGCGGAAGGGCGGUAUUUAUUAGAUAACAAGCCAAUAUUCCUCUGGUCUAUUGUGGUGACUAUCAUAAUAACUGACGAAUCGCAAGGGCUUUGGCCGCGAUAAGUCAUUCAAGUUUCUGCCCCAUCAGCUUUCGAUGGUAGUGUAUUGGACUACCAUGGCGUUUACGGGUAACGGAGGAUUAGGGUUGAUUCCGGAGAGGGAGCCUGAGAAACGGCUACCACAUCUAAGGAAGGCAGCAGGCGCGUAAAUUACCCAAUCCUGACUCAGGGAGGUAGUGACAAGAAAUAACGGACGAGGCAUUCGGGCUUCGGGAUUGGAAUGAGCCGAAUUUACACCCCUUAGCGAAGAUCGAUUGGAGGGCAAGUCUGGUGCCAGCAGCCGCGGUAAUUCCAGCUCCAAUAGCGUAUAUUAAAGUUGUUGCAGUUAAAAAGCUCGUAGUUGGAUUUCUGGGAGGGUGCCGAUGUCCACCUAACGUGUGCGCAGCGGCGCCCUCUCAUCCUUCUGUUAGCGUCUCUUGGCAUUCAUUUGCUGGUGGCGGGCUCAGAUAUUUUACCUUGAGAAAAUUAGAGUGUUUCAGGCAGGCUAGGCCGGAAUACAUUAGCAUGGAAUAAUGGAAUAGGACUACGGUCUCUUUGUUGGUUUGAGGGACUGCAGUAAUGAUUAAUAGGGAUAGUUGGGGGCAUUAGUACUUAACUGUCAGAGGUGGAAUUCUCAGAUUUGUUAAAGACUGACUUAUGCGAAAGCAUUUGCCAAGGAUGUUUUCAUUAAUCAAGAACGAAAGUUAGGGGAUCAAAGACGAUCAGAUACCGUCCUAGUCUUAAC
rnacentral:rRNA from 1 species